UACGUAGGGGGCAAGCGUUGUCCGGAUUUAUUGGGCGUAAAGAGCGUGUAGGCGGUUAUGCAGGUCCGCUGUGAAAACUGGAGGCUUAACCUCCAGACGUCGGUGGAAACCGUAUGACUAGAGUCCGGAAGAGGAGAGUGGAAUUCCUGGUGUAGCGGUGAAAUGCGCAGAUAUCAAGAAGAACACCAGUGGCGAAGGCGGCUCACUGGUCCGGUACUGACGCUGAGGUGCGAAAGCGUGGGGAGCAAACAGG
rnacentral:rRNA from 1 species